UACGUAGGGACCAAGCGUUGUUCGGAUUUACUGGGCGUAAAGGGCGCGUAGGCGGCAAUUCAAGUCAGCUGUGAAAUCUCCGGGCUUAACUCGGAACGGUCAGCUGAUACUGCUUUGCUAGAGUGCGGAAGGGGCAAUCGGAAUUCUCGGUGUAGCGGUGAAAUGCGUAGAUAUUGGGAGGAACACCAGUGGCGAAGGCGGCUCACUGGACCGGUACUGACGCUGAUGCGCGAAAGCGUGGGGAGCAAACGGG
rnacentral:rRNA from 1 species